ensembl:rRNA 5S_rRNA 5S ribosomal RNA
GUCUAUGGCCAUAUCACACUGAAUGCGCCCAAUCUCGUCUGAUCUUGGAAGCUAAACACGGUUGGGCCUGGUUAGUACUGGAUGGGAAAAGAGUGUAGAUAACCUCAGGAAGUGUUAACU